rnacentral:tRNA from 1 species
GGCGCUGUAGUGUAGCGGUUAUCACUCAAGAUUCUGAUUACUAGGAUGAUUGAAUUCUUGGAACCCAGGUUCGAUUCCUGGCAGCGCCU